GAUCUUGGCGCUUAGCGGUAAAGUUGCGCUGAGCAAUGGCUACGAUUCUUCUUUUGUGCACUUUUCCUACUUCUCCUGAGUCCAACUGCUUGCUACUUCAACUUCUUUCAUCCAAUUCCUAUUAAUUCCUGCCAAAACAAGGAAAACCAAGCAUAAAACCAAUAACACCACCUUCAACUCUCUUAUUCUCUAACUUAAGCAAAAAGCAUUCUUUCAAGCUAGUUUCUAAGUCAUAAAGGGUGUGUUUAGUGUCAAAAUUAAGUAUAAAAAUAACCAUAUUUCAACCAUUAUCAAAAUGCUAUCCUCAACCGCAACUAUCAUUUGAAUCCUCCUCCUCUUCAUCAUCUUCCUCUUCCUCUUGUUCCUCAACAUCUUCAUCAUCAUCAUCAUCGUCCAUGGUCGAAGCUUCAGCUGCUCCAGCUCCACUAGCCUAUGCCUGAUCCUCUAGCCAUCCCACCAUAGUGUUAAACUCGUCUAUUGUCCACCGCC
rnacentral:lncRNA from 1 species